rnacentral:rRNA from 1 species
UGGAGCGUGUGGUUUAAUUCGAUGCUACGCGAAAAACCUUACCAGGGUUUGACAUGUGGGUGGUAGGGAUCCGAAAGGUGACCGACUCUUCGGAGAGCCCUCACAGGUGCUGCAUGGCUGUCGUCAGCUCGUGUCGUGAGACGUUCGGUUAAGUCCGCUAACGAGCGCAACCCUCGUCGUGUGUUACAAGUGUCACGCGAGACCGCCGGUGUCAAGCCGGAGGAAGGUGAGGAUGACGUCAAGUCAGCAUGGCCUUUAUAUCUUGGGCA